UGUUAACUUUGACCCACCUAGAUAGGAGUCAAUUUAUCAAACCAAUUUUCAGAAAAAGGUCUAGGGACCUGAAUGGACCACAAGAUCAAUGAGAGUCAACUGUGAGCUAUAGCAGCCCACAAAGCUGAGGCCAUCUAGAGGCAGAGCAUCCAGGGCACAAGAGAUGGUGGCCCUACUAUGCUCUGACCUGGCGGGGUCCAGGAGAUGGUGGCCCUACUAUCCUCUGACCUGGCGGGGUCCAGGAGAUGGUGGCCCUACUAUCCUCUGACCUGGCGGGGACCAGGAGAUGGUGGCCCUACUAUCCUCUGACCUGGCGGGGUCCAGGAGAUGGUGGCCCUACUAUGCUCUGACCUGGCGGGGUCCAGGAGAUGGUAGCCCUACUAUGCUCUGAACUGGCGGAUUCCUUCGUCAGUUUUGGGGGUUCCAUUUUGGGAAGGGCAUUGAGAAGCUGGUGUUUGCAGAAAGGAGGCCAAGGAGGAAGAUGAAAGGCUUCCAGGUCAUUCCAGAGGAGGAUUUGCCGAAGGAGCUGGGGGUGUUCGUACUGCAGAAGACAAGACUGAAGGAGGUUGCGGUCCUUUUCCCAGAUGAGGAAACUGAGGCCCAAAGAAGGGAAGUCACCUGCCCAGAGCCACACUGGGACCCUCCUCUGGAGUGGCAAUCUCCUCCACGUGACCCAGAUCCUCGGUUUGUCUGUAAUUUGGAGUCUUAGUGAUCUGCUGGGGACACGAAGAUGCUAACGACAGUAUACGCCUCAUACAUACUUGUGGGAUUUGGAUUGCCUUGGGCUGGCAAAAAUACAUGGUAAACAGACACCUGGCUUCCUGACUCACUCAGGUCGCAGCCCUCAGAAAGGAGUGGGCUGAGAAAAACUCCUCCUGGGCUGGGGAAUUUGGUUUGUCUUUUGGCUUUGUUUGUUUGUUUGUUUUUUCCUCUGCUGAGGUUUAUUAUAGAAAGAAGUAACCUUCUGAAUAACGCCAAGCCCCUGAGAAGCGCUCUGGAGCUGAAUCACAACCUGUCCAACUGAAUAUUAAAGGUUUACCUAGAGUGCAAUGGGAAAGGGGCUGGGGAGGGGGAAGUGAAGCAAAGUGUGACUUGGCCCUCCCUUUUCUGUACCUGCCCAAAUCAUACUGCAGUGACGGGUCUGCCCUGAGAGUGCCUUAGGGGAGUCCUCACAACAAUGGAAGUGGGAGUGCCUGAGCUCCCACUUAGGUAAAUCCAAGCAAGAGGUAAGGCAGGAGGCAGAGGAGAUCUUGAGUGGGGUCCUUUGCCUCUGUCUGUGUGAAAUUCUUCUGCUUUACCAUCUAAUAAGGGUCCUGGGACCAGAAGGGGCAAGAUGGAGAAGUCCUGGACAUGGUUUACUGAUGUAGACCAAUCCAGGAAAAGGCCCUGGAGCAAAGAGGAGAUGGAGAUACGGUUGCAGAGGGGAGAGAGCUACCGCUUCGAGAGAACCUCUCUGGAGCCAAAGAGACAGCCAGGAUUCAAACCCAGAUGGAUACUUUUUAUCCUGUUACAUCAAGGCGCUGAUAUUCCUGUGCUUUCUAGUGCUUUUAACAGACACUUUUCCAGUAUUUAUUGAUACCAUAAUGUGAUUUUUCUUGGGAAGAUGUAUGUGAACUGAUGCAAAGUGAAGUGAGCAGAACCAGGAGAAUAAUUCACACAGCAAACAGU